UAUGGAUGACAGACUUUGGAAAUGC
rnacentral:piRNA from 1 species